rnacentral:sRNA from 1 species
AAGUUGGCUGGGUGCGCGCCGGCUCGGGCUGCAGUUCCCGGGUCCCUCGGCCACCGAAGCCGCCCUGCCCUGAUGAAAGGGCUCCCGCACCGCCCGGUGCUCACCAUCUGCCUGGCGUUGUGCGCAGAGCUGGAAAGCAGCUGUUAUAAAUGAAUUCUGAUUUUGGGGAGCAGAUGCCAACUUAGAGCCUCGUACCAAUCUCUCUGUCUUUAAAAGGUGAGGUGACUUAGUGAUUUUCCUGGAAAAUUAUAGAGGUGGACACUGAGGUGGACACUGCGGGUUGUGAGGUUCAGGAGGGGUAGGUGGCUGGCACAAGGUCACAGAGCAGCGCUGCCAUUUGGCUACUUCCCAAUUCAGCAUAGCUGCCGUCUCUGCCGGUGGUAUUCUCAGCAUGCAAGGUGAAAUACUCACCAAGGAAGCAGGGGCUAACUCCUCACAGAGCCCUCACGGUUUCCUGUUUCCUGACAAAAAGGGAAGCUGGAGGACUGUAGUUUUGCAUCCUAUCCUGCCCUGAGCCCCAUUUCGGGCUGUCAGCCAGCCUUGUCUCCAGCCUGCUCACCACUCACUGAUGCUUUUUGCA